ensembl:lncRNA
AUGACAGAAAGGACAUGCCGCGACCGCCGAUCGACCGGUGUUUGCUAACGCGGAGGUCAAUCGUGGAUCAGGGAAAGCGAAGGCAGGAGCGUGAGGUGAACUGAAUUUCAGUCGCUGACGCGGAGCUACAACCGAGGGCAGCUAUCCACCGGUGUGUGUCAGAAAGAACAUGCGGGGAACGAGGCGGCGAGGCGACCGCCGAUCGACCGGUGGUAGAUCGUGGAUCAGGGAAACCGAAGGCAGGAGAAGCAGGCGGCUGCCGGUCGGAGCGUGAGGUGAACUGAAUUUCAGGGAAACCGAAGGCAGGAGAAGCAGGCGGCUGCCGGUCGGAGCGUGAGG